rnacentral:misc_RNA from 1 species
GUGUGAAAGAUGGUGAUUGCCCUCUUUGUUGUCUGGUGUUCUUUAUGUUCCCUACAGGAGCUGCCGAUACAAAGGCCUGACCCAGAAGAAAUUCUGCGUCACCUGUACCAUCAAGAUCAAGAUCAAGAUCCCACCGGCGCUGCCGCCACAACCACCCGCUCUUGUGGCAGGGGCCGGCAGGGACGCGCUGGGACGCAUCCUCUUCACCGACCCACACAAAUACAAGGACGCCAUAUACAAGAGGUGGACACAGCGGGAAAAGAAGAAAAAAGAACUUCAACAUUAGCGGAACAAAGAACGAGAAGAAGUAAGGAGCUUCCGUUGCAACAUCUACAUCUACAUCUACCACUAAUGGCCACCGGGAUACGUGUCUUAUUUAAUGAUUUCCGAGGCCCCUGGCGGUCAUGGAGGGCGGUGAGCAGUGCCUGAUUGUGUUAAGAUGUGGAGAAACAGACCAAGGAAAGAGGAGGAAGAGGAAGA